rnacentral:lncRNA from 1 species
UCUCAAAGCCAUUAACACAAUGAUUCCGUAUCUCCGUCCACAACAGUUUUGAACUUCAUAUAUGAUGGAUACUGCAUCACAAUCUGAAGCGAUGUACCUGAGCAAAGAUGCCCGGAAAAUAGUUUGGGACUCCAUUGACACGGUUGUAAGCGCACAUGAUUCCGCUAGCUUGGGCAUUUUGUAUGCAACUUUGGAAAGGCGGUUGAUACGUGUCGGCAAGAUCUUGCUUCGUCACCUGUUUUUGUAUUUUCGCGCAUGAUUAGUGUUGCAUGUAUUCCAUACUCUGAGUAAAGACAUAAUAAAAUGGGUCGCUCUAAUGAGGCCUGAUCU